rnacentral:lncRNA from 1 species
CUGCUCCCGGCGCGGCCGCCAUAGUGAUGGCUGCCGUUGGCAUCCUGCAUCCUUUCCUGGUCUCGCUGCCGUUCACGACUGUUCUCAGGGCACAUUCCGUUCCUCGAGGCUCUUUUUUUUUUAUAUCCUAGGGGAUUACUCCCUCAGUCUAACCUGGAAAGAAUGGAAAUAACCGGGUGGGGCCCAACGCAAGACCCGGUCCUUCACCUGGACACUGCCCGAGCCCUUGGACCAAGAUGCCUGUCUCACCAGCUCCCUUUCUGUCUUUACCCUCGCGAUUCCUUGAUCCCCUUGCACUUCCUGUGCAGAUUAUUUGUUGAGAAAAGACCUGUGUGUGUAAAAAAGUAAUGACUUUAAGAACGCCACCAAGCAAUCUCACUACUGGGUUUGCUUUACAUAGAUCACUAUUCUUUCUUUCCUUGCUUUUAAGAAGGUGGGGUGGGAACUGUGUUACCCUGAGUUCUACAUCUAUCCUAACGUUUACACAAAACGCUUUCUAUCAGGGCAGUUUUUAGUAUGUACUUCUACGAAGCAGUCUAAAUAGCAUCAAAAAAAAAAUCAUAAUGUAAAAUUUAAGACAUCCAUACUCUGAACUCCUAGAAAGCUACAAAAUGAAAUAGGUCUCAAAUGGCAUUAAAGAAAAAAAAGAAAAAAAAAAAAAGGAGAGGAGUCG